rnacentral:lncRNA from 1 species
AGGGAUGAGCACUGCCUUUGUGCCAGACGAGGAGAGAAACCACAGGGUGUAGCUUGGCAAUGUGGAGACGGAUCCCGCCUUCCUUCCAGCCACAUGGAGAUGGAUCUCUCCUUCCUUCCCGUCAUGUGGAGAUGGAUCCCGCCUUCCUUCCCCGCCAUGUGGGCCUGUGGGGGGAGUGGGAGGGACAGGUAGAUUCCUUUUGGUUUCCUGCCA